rnacentral:rRNA from 1 species
AACGAACGCUGGCGGCGCGCCUAAUACAUGCAAGUCGAGCGAGAAGACGUAGCAAUACGUUUGUAAAGCGGCGAACGGGUGAGGAAUACAUGGGUAACCUACCCUCGAGUGGGGAAUAACUAGCCGAAAGGUUAGCUAAUACCGCGUACGCUCCUUGGACUUCGGUUCAGGGAGGAAAGCGAUACCGUGGGUAUCGCGCUCUUGGAUGGGCUCAUGUCCUAUCAGCUUGUUGGUGAGGUAACGGCUCACCAAGGCUUCGACGGGUAGCUGGUCUGAGAGGACGAUCAGCCACACUGGCACUGCGACACGGGCCAGACUCCUACGGGAGGCAGCAGUAAGGAAUAUUGCGCAAUGGGCGAAAGCCUGACGCAGCGACGCCGCGUGGGGGGAUGAAGGUCUUCGGAUUGUAAACCCCUUUCGGGAGGGAAGAUGGAACGAGCAAUCGUUCGGACGGUACCUCCAGAAGCAGCCACGGCUAACUUCGUGCCAGCAGCCG